GACGAACGCUGGCGGCGUGCUUAACACAUGCAAGUCGAGCGAUGAAGCUCCUUCGGGAGUGGAUUAGCGGCGGACGGGUGAGUAACACGUGGGCAACCUGCCUUAUAGAGAGGAAUAACCAUCCGAAAGGAUGAUUAAUACCUCAUAAUAUUGUAGUUUCGCAUGAAGCAACAAUCAAAGGAGCAAUCCACUAUAAGAUGGGCCCGCGGCGCAUUAGCUAGUUGGUGAGGUAACGGCUCACCAAGGCGACGAUGCGUAGCCGACCUGAGAGGGUGAUCGGCCACAUUGGGACUGAGACACGGCCCAGACUCCUACGGGAGGCAGCAGUGGGGAAUAUUGCACAAUGGGGGAAACCCUGAUGCAGCAACGCCGCGUGAGUGAUGACGGCCUUCGGGUUGUAAAGCUCUGUCUUCAGGGACGAUAAUGACGGUACCUGAGGAGGAAGCCACGGCUAACUACGUGCCAGCAGCCGCCGCUUAAG
rnacentral:rRNA from 1 species